CCUCCCCCACCCCCGCGCGGUGGCACCUGCCGAUGUCCCCAAAUGCCACCGGCGGUGUCACCAAAGCCCUGCGGUGCCGCCGAGUCCCCUCCGUGUCCCCAGGUCCCCUUUGUGUCCCCUCCGUGUCCCUCUCAUGUCCCCAGGUCCCCUCCAGGUCCUUUCCUGUGUCCCCUCCAUGUCCCUCUCGUGUCCCUCUCAUGUCCCCAAGUCCUCCCAAUGUCCCCAUCGUGUCCCCUCUGUGUCCCCAAGUCCCCUUUGUGUCACUCCCAUGUCCCCAAGUCCCCCUCGUGUCCCUCUCGUGUCCCCAGGUCCCUUCCUGUGUCCCCUCCACGUCCCUCUCGUGUCCCUCUCAUGUCCCCAGGACCCCCAGAGUGUCACUCCCAUGUCCCCACGUCCCCCUCGUGUCCCUCUCGUGUCCCCAGGUCCCUUCCUGUGUCCCCUCCAUGUCCCUCUCGUGUCCCUCUGUGUCCCCAAAUCCCCUUUGUGUCCUCUCCGUGUCCCUCUCAUGUCCCCAAGUCCCCUCCAGGUCCUUUUCGUGUCCCUCUCAUGUCCGCCGGUCCCUUCCUGUGUCCCCUCUGUGUCCCUCAGCCCCCCUGGUGUCCCCUCCCUGUCCCCAGGUCACCUCCAGGUCCCUUCCUGUGUCCCCCCGAUGUCCCCUUCAUGUCCCUCUGUGUCCCCAAGUCCCCUCCAGGUCCCUUCCUGUGUCCCCUUUAUGUCCCUCUGUGUCCCCAAGUGCCCCCAGUGUCCCUCUCGUGUCCCCACUUCCCCUCCAUGUCCCCUCUCCUGUCACUUUUGUGUCCCCAAGUCCACCCCAUGUCCCCUCCGUGUCCCUUUUGUGUGCCCAGCUCUCUUCUUGUGUCUCCUCCGUGUCCCCAAGUCCCCACCGUGUGUCACUCCCAUGUCCCCAAGUCCCCUUUGUGUCCCCCUCAUGUCCCUUUUGUGUCCCCAAGUCCCCUCCAGGUCCCCUCCUGUGUCCCCUCUGUGUCCCUCCCGUGUCCCCAGCUCCCUUCCUGUGUCCCCCCGAUGUCCCCAAGUCCCCUUUGUGUCCCCUCUGUGUCCCCAUGUCCCUCUCCGUGUCCCCAUCACGUCCCUGUGAUGCCACCAUGUCCCUUUGAUGUCCCCACCAUGGCCCCGUGUCCCCUCCCUGUCCCCAUCCCUGCCACUGCCAUGUCCCUGUGUUCCCUCAGUGUCCCUUGUCCCCAUUUCCAUCCCUGUCCCCUCAGUGUCCCCAUCCCUGUCCCUGCCAUGUCCCUGUGUUCCCUCAGUGUCCCUUGUCCCCAUUUCCGUCCCUGUUCCCUCAGUGUCCCUUGUCCCCAUUUCCGUCCCUGUCCCCUCAGUGUCCCCAUCCCUGUCCCUGCCAUGUCCCCAUGUCCCCCUCAGUGUCUCCUCAGUGUCCCUUGUCCCCAUUUCCAUCCCUGUCCCCUCAGUGUCCCCAUCCCUGUCCCCUCCAUGUCCCCAUCCCUGUUCCUGCCAUGUCCCUGUGUCCCCUCAGUGUCCCCAUCCCUGUCCCCUCCAUGUCCCUGUCCCCAUCCAUGUCCCUGCCAUGUCCCCAUUUCUGCCACUUCCCUGUCUCCUCAGUGUCCCCAUCCCUGUCCCCUCCAUGUCCCCGUGUCCCCCUCAGUGUCCCCUCCAUGUCCCUGUGUCCCCAUCCCUGUCCCCUCCAUGUCCCCAUUUCUGUCCCUGUCUCCUCAGUGUCCCCAUCCCUGUCCCUGCCAUGUCCCUGUGUCCCCUCAGUGUCCCCAUCCCUGUCCCCUCCAUGUCCCCAUUUCUGUCCCUGUCCCCUCAGUGUCCCCAUCCCUGUCCCUGCCAUGUCCCUGUGUCCCUCUCAGUGUCCCCUCCAUGUCCCUGUCCCCAUCCCUGUCCCCUCCAUGUCCCUGUGUCCCUCUCAGUGUCCCCUCCAUGUCCCUGUCCCCAUCCCUGUCCCUGCCAUAUCCCCAUCCCUGUCCCUGCCAUGUCCCCAUCCCUGUCCCU
ensembl:lncRNA